AGAGAAAAAGGACUUGAGAUGUCAAGAGCAAAGAGCUUAGGAGAAACUAAGUACAGGCAAAGAUCUGAGCUGCAGUCAGGGAAGUCUGUGCUGAGUGUGGCAUAUUCAAGAGGAGAAUCAAAGCAGAAGAAGAUUUGAUAACGUGUAGCAAAACUGAAGAACUGCCUCUGCUUCAUGAGAGCACUUUGCAAGACUCCUAUACAUGAUUCCUGGCCACCAGAGAUCUGCUCUUCAAAUUAAUGCCUGCUAACGUUGGGCUUGAUUAAAGGAAGCUAAUGAAGCCAUUUGAAGGAUGCCCUCCAGCCUUCCCUCUCUGUUUCCAUGUUCCCUUGGCAGAAAUAAGGGAUUUUAAAGCUGCAAUUCAACAGCAUCAUCCUUUCAUGUUGUGGAGUGCCUAGCCUAUGAAUGGGACCUGCCCCAAGCUCUGUGUUACUAGGAGCCCGCUGGAGAACAGGGGUCUCAGAAGCUCAUGUGUG